rnacentral:tRNA from 1 species
AAAAAGAUAAGCUAAAUUCAAGCUCCUGGGUUCAUACCCCAUAAAUAAAGGCAAAAUCCUUUUCUUUUUA